CGAGGCUACACAUGCAGUCGAGGGGCAUCACUUCGGGUGGCGACCGGCGCACGGGUGAGUAACACGUAUGCAACCUGCCAUAUACAGGGGGAUAGCCUUCCGAAAGGGAGAUUAAUACCCCAUAAAACAGGGGUACCGCAUGGUAAUAUUUGUUAAAGAUUAAUCGGUAUAUGAUGGGCAUGCGUUGGAUUAGGUAGUUGGUGAAGGUAACGGCUCACCAAGCCAACGAUCCAUAGGGGAACUGAGAGGUUAAUCCCCCACACUGGUACUGAGACAGGGACCAGACUCCUACGGGAGGCAGCAGUGAGGAAUAUUGGUCAAUGGUCGGGAGACUGAACCAGCCAAAUCGCGUGAAGGAAGACGGUAUUAUGUAUUGUAAACUUCUUUUGUAAGGGAAUAAAGUGCGGGACGCGUCCUGUUUUGUAUGUACCUUACGAAUAAGCAUCGGCUAACUCCGUGCCAGCAGCCGCGGUAAUACGGAGGAUGCGAGCGUUAUCCGGAUUUAUUGGGUUUAAAGGGUGCGUAGGUUGGCUUUUAAGUCAGCGGUGAAAUCUCUCAGCUUAACUGGGAAACUGCCGUUGAAACUGGGAGCCUUGAGUGUGAACGAGGCAGGCGGAAUUCGUAGUGUAGCGGUGAAAUGCAUAGAUAUUACGAAGAACUCCGAUAGCGCAGGCAGCUUGCCAGGCCACAACUGACACUGAAGCACGAAAGUGUGGGUAUCAAACAGGAUUAGAUACCCUGGUAGUCCACACAGUAAACGAUGAUUACUCGCUGUUUGCGAUACAGUGCAAGCGGCUUAGCGAAAGCGUUAAGUAAUCCACCUGGGGAGUACGCCGGCAACGGUGAAACUCAAAGGAAUUGACGGGGGCCCGCACAAGCGGAGGAACAUGUGGUUUAAUUCGAUGAUACGCGAGGAACCUUACCCGGGCUCGAACGGCGAUAGAAUAUGAUGGAAACAUUAUAGCCAGCAAUGGCUGUCGUCGAGGUGCUGCAUGGUGUCGUCAGCUCGUGCCGUGAGUGUCGCUUAGUGCCAUACGAGCGCACCCUUACGUCAGUUACAUCA
rnacentral:rRNA from 1 species